GCGCGGAAACAAUGAUGAAUGGGUUUAAAUUGGGCACUUGACUCAUUUUGAGUUAGUAGUGCAACCGACCGUGC
rnacentral:ncRNA from 2 species